rnacentral:lncRNA from 1 species
UGGGAAUUUGGGAAUUUGGGAAUUUGGGAAUUCCAGGGGGUGGCUGUGGGAGCCUCCCAGUGAUCCUGGACUUGUGAGAAUCCCGGAAAUUUGGGAAUUCUGAGGGGUUUGAAGGGUGUGAGGGAGCGUCACAGUGAUCCUGGAUGUGUGACAUCAAUGGGAAUCCCGGAAAUUUGUGAAUUUUGUAAAUUCUGAGGGGUGUGAGGGACUCUCCUCGUGAUCCUGCGGUGUGAGAGCCCCUCAGAGCUGUGCCCUGCUUUUCCAGGGAAUUUUGGGAAUUCUGAGGGGACAAAUCCCACAUUUCCAUCCCACUCCCCUUCAAUCCCUCAUCCCCCUCCUCUACCUUUCCAUGAAAAACUGGAAUUUGGAGGAAUUUCCAUGGAAUUCUGAGGGGACAAAUUUCACAUGUCCACCCCACUGCUCUUCCCUAAAUUCCUGAUCCUCCUGCCCUGCUUUUCGUGGGAAUUUUGGGAAUUCUGAGGGGACAAAUUUCACAUUUCCACCCCA